CCCCGAUGCGCGCGUCAGGUGCUCCGUCCCUUCCAGGUGGCAGAGGAGAGGGAAGGGUCGCGCCUGGUGGGGGCCUGAGAGCCACCGGGCUGCGGUGCGCGAGUGUGGACACCGCCCCGCCUUCUGCGUCUACAGCCCUGGGUUCUGGGACCUUUGGAAACCGCUUUGGACGAAGCUGAGCAUCUCUUUCCCCACGCUGACCUCCCCCAUAGACUCCGGAUGGGAGUAAAUGAGGCUCCUGGGAAAUCCAGAAACUCUAGAGAAGCUUGUUUGCCAAACCUUGCUUUGGGCGGUGGAGACAGAAUAUCAUGUCCCAGAUCAGCGUGUGGUGACUGUGGAGGCAUUUACACACAGCACACUCCAGCUCUGCCACUGGGCCGGCUGAGGUGGCUGCGGUACACGGCGCCCAUCCUGAGCCCCAGGUUCCUCACAUGUCAACAGCAUGAAAAGUGCCUCUAAGACAUCCACAGGUGUGCAGUGUUAAAGCAGGUGAGUGUCCUAGUGUAGACUUAGCGGAGUGGGGCUAGGGCUGCGGGUAGUGGGUGUUCCGCCCCCGGCUUGCUACCCAGUCCUCCCUGUCCCUCAGAUCUGGCCCCAACCCUCAGGCAGACCCGUGUCUUCUCUUCCACCCCCUCCCUCCUCCUCCCUGGCACUCAGCCUUGCUCUUCUACUCUACCCUCCCUCCCCAGGCAGCGCCUCAGCUUGGUUAGCUCCCUUAAGGACUGCGGCUCCCUUAGGACAAGGCUCUGUCCCUCAGAGCACUGAGUGCGAUCUCAUGCUGGCAUCUUAGAGACAUUGUAUUCACCAGGUAAGAUGGAUUCACAUCUGCUGGGUGCACGAACACUUCCUCCUUCCUUGCCACCAGCCAGCAUCACAACCAGCCUGGCCAGGCUCCCGUCCCAGCCCAGCCUAGCAGCUAACCCCAGCUCCAUCCCCCAGCAAGCCCCUCUGCCUGCACCUCAGCUUCUUCAUGGAAGACGAGUCAGGUCAUGAUGCCACCAGGGAGCGUGUUUCCAUGUUGAACUGAGACACUAAGCCCUUGACAAAUGUUGGCCAAGAAAAAAAAGGGGCUCCAAGAGGGGAGCUGUGGCUCAGGUAGAAGACGGUGAAUGAGCAUUGCCUGAAUCAGAGUUAGCUACUCUGGUUACACAGGUGUCCCCGGCAGGUUGGUCAAAAGCCCUUCCCUGAGUCCCGUGAUAAGUGUGGGGAGGGAGGCAAAUCAAAGACCCCUACACACCUCCUGCAUGGAUGGCCAGAGCGCUGGUCCCACCUCCUUCCUUCCAAACUGCAACCCCGAUCAGCACAGCAGAGAAGUCUCCUGUGGCAGGGACCAGUAAUUCAGUGCUUCCCCUGGAGAGUCUGGGAUUGCACAGAACACCAGAGGCUGGGGAUUUAUUUGUUCACCAACAUUCAUUCAACAAACACUUACUGAGGCCAACACUGGGAAUGGAGACGAACUUCCCUGUCCUCAUGGAGCUUGCUUUCAAAAGGGAAGGAGGCAGACAGUAAACAAAACAAGCAAGUCAAUAUACAGCAUGAUGCAGAAAAGGUGUGAUGCCACCCUCUUGCCUGAGUUUAUAACAAGCAGAUGAUGUUGUCCUAAGAAUUAAUUUCAGCCGGUGAAAGAGUACAGGCAAAAAACGUGGUCUCGGACUUUCCGGUGAUGCUUAAGAACAUAGUUGCAGUUUUUGUUCUGAUUCUUUGUGCAUCUCGCGCUAAUGAAGGAUUCUGCCAUGAUUGCCACCUCUGGAGACGUCACAGCCAGCACAGCCAUGACCAGGGAUGAACUUGGCCAUUGUCCAGCAGCACCAUGGGAGGACCAGCUGCUGUAAGUGAAGGUCAUCAUCCAUCUGAUUUGCUGGCUUUUUGCAACUACUGCGGUGGAAGUCUUAGAGUAGCCACCUUCUCUGUACUCAGACCUUCACUUCGCCAGAUGUCAGCACAGCAGUGUCAGCAGCUUCGUCAAACACAAACACCACCACCUCUCUGGAUCAGAAGCACAUGGAAAGCCCACCUUGCAAGAAGACCCAGCUAUUCCAAAAGUACCCAUAUCCCUGUAGCAUCCUCUUAGCUGAAUGUCUCUACUCCUUAAACUUGUACCACUUUGAAGAGUAAAAAUUUAAAUUCAUUCAUAUUAUCAUUUUUUAGUUUUUAGUAUAAGUGGAGCUGUUUAUCGGCCAUUUGUAUGUCCUUUUCUUUUUUUUGCAAAUUACUCCUUUGCCAAAUUUUCUCUCAAAUGACUCAUCUUUUUCUUAUUGAUUUGCAGAAGCUAUUUACAUAUUAUGGAUGUGGGGUGUCUAACAUACACAGCAAAUACUUUGUCCCAGUGUGUCACUUUUUAAAAAAAUUCUUAUAAUGUCUUUCAUCUUUAAAAAAUUAUUAAGCUAUUGUGAGCUUUUAUGCCUUUUCAGUUUAUUUUCUUACAUAGAUAAUUAUAUGAAGUGCAAAUAGGGGCAGUGUUAGUCUCAUCUUCCCAAGGCUGCACCUCAGAUGUGGAAUGUUGACAGCAACAUCUGUUACCUUGUUUCUGUUUUUAGGAUUUUAGCGUUAAGGCCAGGCAUAAUGGUUCAUGCCUGUAAUUCCAGCACUUUGGGAGGCCGAGGUGGGCAGAUCACUUGAAGCCAGGAGUUCAAGACCAGCCUGGCCAACAUGGAGAAACCCUCUCUAUUUUUAAAUACAUUUAAAAUGUUAACAAUUAAAACAAAAUAUUUUACCGUUAGUAUGAUGCUUGAUACAGGAUUUCUGGUACAUACGCCUUAUCAAAUUAAAUAAGUUUCCUUUUACUCUUGUUUAUUGUUAUUUUUUAAAAUAAGGAAUGAAUCUUGGAUUUUAGUGUAUCAAUAAUUAUAUUUUAUUCUUUAACUUCAUAAUAUUCCUUAUAAUUCCUUAUGUCAUAUUAAAGAUGUAAAUUCAUAUAUAUUUUAUCAUACAAAUGAUUAAUAAAU
rnacentral:lncRNA from 1 species